GACGAACCAUGCAAACGUUAUUCGGAAUCACUGGGCUUAAAGGGUGCGUAGGCGGUGCGGUAAGUUGGAUGUGAAAUCCCUCAGCUUAACUGAGGAACUGCGUUCAAAACUACCGUGCUAGAGGGAGAUAGAGGUGAGCGGAACUUAGGGUGGAGCGGUGAAAUGCGUUGAUAUCCUAAGGAACACCGGUGGCGAAAGCGGCUCACUGGAUCUUUUCUGACGCUGAGGCACGAAAGCUAGGGGAGCAAACGGG
rnacentral:rRNA from 1 species